CUUCCGGUCACCAUGGCGACCAGGCGCCUUGGGGUGGGGGAGACGCUGGGGGCCCUCAACGCGGCCCUGGGGCCAGGCGGUCCGGUGUGGAUCAAGGAGACGCGCACCCGCCACCUGCGUUCCCGAGACUUUCUGGCACCGCACCGCGCGCUGCAGGCGCGCUUCGAUGACGGCCAGGUGGGCGUGAGCCGGGCGGGGCCGUGCGGCCGGGAGAUGGGCCCCGUGCCGUGGCCCUUUUACACGCCCGUUCUCCCGCAGGUUCCGGAGCAUUUGCUCCAUGGCCUCGCCUGCGUGCAGGGCCCCGGUGUGGCCCCGGUGCUGCGCUGCGCGCCGACCCCCGCGGGUCUGUCUCUCCAACUGCAGCGGUCCGCCGUCUUCGAGCGCGUCCUCAGCGCCGUGGCCGCCUAUGCCACGCCCGCCUCGCCUGCCUCGCUGGGCCAGCGCGUCUUACUACACUGCCCAGCACUGCGCAGCUCCCCCUGCGCACUCCGCUUGAGCCAGCUGCGUACGGUGCUCGUGGCCGAUCACCUGGCGCGAGCCCUGCGCGCUCACGGGUGAGCGGGGCCGCGGGGCCGGAAUGGAGAAAGUGGGACUGCCGGGGACCUAGAGAGCGAGCGGCGCCGCCCGUGGGGACUGCGGCUGGAGGUGGGAAGUCGUGGCGAGCUGGACCAGGUGCUCAGGCUGAGGCGGCCGCCCUCCCUUCGCAGGGUGUGCGUGCGCCUAGUGCCAGCUGUGCGGGAUCCGCACAUGCUGACCUUCCUGCAGCAACUGCGGGUGGACUGGCCCGCUGCCUCGGAGAGAGCUUCCUCCCACACCCUGAGGAGCCACGCCCUUGAAGAACUUACCUCUGCUAAUGACGGGAGGACACUGUCCCCUGGCAUCCUAGGCAGACUGUGUCUGAAGGAGCUGGUGGAAGAACAGGGCCGCACAGCUGGCUAUGACCCCAACCUGGACAACUGUCUGGUGACUGAGGAUCUCCUCUCUGUGCUGGCUGAGCUGCAAGAGGCUCUAUGGCAUUGGCCCGAGGACAGCCACCCAGGCCUGGUUAGUGACUCCCAGCCCUGUAGGUUCUCCCAAACCAAGUAUACUGUACUUCCACAGUUAUGAUUGUCCUCCCUUAGGCUGGGGCCUCAGAUACCGGUACAGGCGGCUGCCUGGUUGUACAUGUUGUUAGCUGUGAGGAGGAGUUCCAGCAACAGAAGUUGGACCUGCUUUGGCAGAAGUUGGUUGACAAGGCUCCACUCAGACAGGUAGGUUAAUGAUGGUGGAGCUCCCCACCACCUAACCCCCAACCUCAGAGGGCCCUUGAAAACCCACCGAGGGGCUUGUUAGUUGACAGAAACCAACACUUGACCUUGUGGGAGUUGCUGGACUUGAGAGGGCAUGUACAACAGGUGCAGAGGCUCUGGGGAAGGGGGGUCUGUAGACACAUCCCAAGAACACUGAAGACCAGGUUGAGAAGGAUGAACCAUGCGUAGCCUGAGUGGCUGGGUAGAAGGAGGCACUCAACCUGGCAGUUCCAAUUUGAGGGAGUCUGGGCUGAGUAGAGGCACCAGAUUUGGGCUCCUCAAGGGACUUCCUGGAGAGUAGCGCCAACUAGGCUGAGCCCCUGACAUCUUUCUGACAGAAGCACCUGAUCUGUGGCCCUGUGAAAGUAGCUGGUGCACCUGGCACUCUGAUGACUGCCCCUGAGUACUACGAGUGAGUGAGGCUGGGAGGAACACCAACCUAAGCCAGGGUAAUGAGGGGGGACUCUUUACCCAGGACCCUGCCCACUGGCCUUCCUCUCUUCCAAACACAGGUUCCGGCAUGCCCAGGUGUGCAAGGCCUCAGCACUGAAGCAUGGUGGGGAUCUGGCACAAGGUGUGCCUGGGAAACCCUGGCUAUGUUCUGGGUUAGGGGCAGGUUUUUUGCAUCCCUGCCCUUGCCUGCAGACUGACUGACCAACCCUCUACUCCCUCAGACCCAGCCUGGACAGAGAUCUUUGGUGUUCUCUCUGUGGCCACCAUCAAGUUUGAGAUGCUGAGCACAGCCCCACAGAGUCAGGUGAGCCUGGGAGCCUGACAGGGCCAGUGUUGGGGCACAGGGUGUGGUGGCUGCCUUCUCUCUCUGCAGCUGUGCUUCUGUUCCCCAGCUCUUCCUGGCUCUGGCUGACAGCAGUAUCUCCACGAAGGGCACAAAGAGUGGCACCUUUGUCAUGUAUAAUUGUGCCCGUCUUGCCACACUCUUUGAGAGUUACAAGUGUAGUAUGGAACAAGGUCUGUACCCCACUUUUCCUCCUGUGAGCAGUCUGGACUUCUCACUGCUACAUGAUGAGGUGAGUGUCCCUCCUGGUAGCUGGCACAAGGAGGCCUGGACUUCCCCUCCCAGCACCUUUCUCCCCCACAGGGUGAGUGGUUGUUGCUCUUCAACAGUAUCCUCCCCUUUCCGGAUCUGCUGAGCCGGACAGCAGUGCUGGACUGCACAGCCCCGGGGCUCCACAUUGCUGUACGCACAGAGAUGGUGAGGCAUAGACAACCAGGACACUCUACACUCUAUUCUUUAUUCUGGCCUGGGGCACAAGAGCAAAGAGAUGGGCCAGUGACUCAGUCUCUGUCUCUAGAUAUGCAAGUUCCUGGUACAGCUCAGCAUGGAUUUCAGCUCCUACUACAACCGGGUACACAUCCUGGGGGUGAGCACACAGCAAAACGGGGUGGGACGUGCAGAGGGGUACAGGGUAAAGGCAAAGGAAGCAGAGGAUGAGACCAGCAGGCCCUUUCUCUUUCAGGAGCCUCGACCACACCUCUUUGGUCAGAUGUUCGUCCGCCUGCAGCUUCUGAGAGCUGUGCGUGAGGUGCUCCAUACUGGCCUGGCUAUGCUGGGUCUCCCUCCACUGAGCCACAUCUAAGGCCACAGAGGCUCCAAUACCUGGGAAUGUUCACAAAGUCAUCAACUGGAAAAAAAGCAAAAACUCACGGCCAAAAUAAAUUGGUACUGUUUGUUAC
rnacentral:sRNA from 1 species